rnacentral:SRP_RNA from 1 species
GCUGGGCAUGGUGGUGUGUGCCUGUAAUCCCAGUUACUCAGGAGGCUGAGGCAGGAGAAUUGCUUGAACCCAGGAGGUGGAGGUUGCAGUGAGCCCAGAUUGCGCCACUGCACUCCAGCCUGGGCGAAAGAGCAAGACUCUGUCUCAA